AUCAAAUUAGCCUGGCUUUGUCCCUGAAAUGUGCAUUAGUAGUUAAGGGCUCAAAAGUAUUCUUUUGUCAGCUGCUGGGCUCAUGUCCAAAUUUGCCUAAGAAAGACUUGGGUUUCAAUGGAUAAUGGACAGAAAGGCAGGUUAUAUGAAAGCCAAAGGCCACCACUAAUCAGCUCUCUCCUGUUUCACCAAAUGGGUUGGGUGUGGUAAUGGAGGCCUUAUCACCAGAUCUUGGGGGUGGGCCCAGUUAUGACCUGAGGGGCCAAGGACUGACCUGGAGGUAGGGGAAGAGAGAAAAGCUGAAAUACAGGUGAGGAGCCUCUCAACUACCUUUCAGCUCACCUUCCUGGAAGGACUGUCAGCCACACACCACUUCCUUUGGUCUGCGCUCAAAUACUACGAGUCUGCCCAUGAGAAAGUGCCAGCUGAAGGUAGUCACAUCAAAUAAAGCGCCCAGGAAGGUCUCAUCUUUCCCCAGAAAACCAUCUGAGAUGAAAACACACACAUCCAAGUGCUCGGCCUGCUCUGCAGUGCUGCCGGGAGCUGGGUGGGGGCCGGAGCCCCUCCAUGCCUUCCACCCCUGCCAGGAGCCUGCAGAAACUCAGAGGGCUUUCUGCUGUGUCCCAACCAGGUGACCUUCCUUCAGCUUUCAGUCCUGCUCCAUAUUUAUAAACUUUCCUCCAAUGUACGCUUGUUUGGCACAUUUAGGCAAGGCUGUGUCUGGAAAAUUAGGAAAAUGGAAAAUUCCUCCCUUGUUUCCUUCUUACAAUAGAGACUAGUCUAUAGAUGAGAAAUCCAUGACCUCUGGAAUUAGUGCCUGGGGGUGACCCUGGCUCUCAGAGCCAUAGAACAUUGGUUCGAACUGCCGGAAGUCACAGAUCUCAGGUGGACUUCUUCUAGGGCCCUUGAGGUGGGAACUCCCUAUGCACACAUCCCCUCCCUGCUCCCAUGCUCACAUACCCAGGUGGUGUCUUAAGAGAUGCUGCCAAUCACCUUAAUAAAGUUAACUGCUAGUCCUCCAAACAGAGAGAUUUUCCAGUUGGGAAUGGAAAACUGAACCUUAUGGCUCUGGCCAUUGUCCUGCAGAGUCACCUUUCCCCGGAGCUCUCAUUAAUGACAGUGGCCACUGCCUACCUUUGAUGCUCUGGCCUAACCAUCCUUGACUAAUUCCUAGGAGCACAGCUGACAUCUGCAAGGACCAAAAAGGCUUUAUGGGAGGAGAAAGGAUACAAAAGAGAAUAAAUCCACAGGGAUAUACAUCAGGUUAUUUUGACUCUAAGACAAGGGUUUCCUUUUCUACUUCUGGAGUCUGCUCAGCCAUCUCUUCCCACCUCAGAAGAGGAGAAAACACCUCCUUUCUAUUUAAGGCCUGGAAUGAGAUCAAGGCAGGUAGGAAUCUACUCUCAUAGCCAGCUGAAACGCUGCCCUAAAAUGUUUUCUGGAGCAUUCUGUGUUUUAUUCUGCCUCUUCUAUAUGCCACAUUUUUUUUUUUUUUGCUUCAGGGUGAGUUGUGGGUUGGGAUUAUGGACACAAAGGUGAGCUCAGUCAUGGAGAGCUGUGGGGGUGUCACUGUGGGCUGUGGCAGGUUGAAUCCUACACAGAAGACUGUGCCUGCAUAGAGGGUGUUCCUUUCCCUUUCUGUCUGCCGUGAAAUAUUGAGUUGCAACUCUUGCAAAUAUCAGAAGUCCACAAGGUAGAUUUCAGUCUUAACUUUGACAUAUAAAUCAUAGUUUUAUUUGUUUAGCACUCAUGCAAAAAUGACAAAAAUUUUUAUCAGUCUAGGAAAUGGAAACCUGUUUUUAUUACAGUCAAGUAACCAGUUUGUCGUCAUUUAAAUAUGUAUACCUUCACUACACUACCCGGUGGUGGUGUCAACUGAAAAAUUGGGCAAAACCAAGACUGUGAUCACAGUUAUAGAAAAAUGUGAGACUGAUGUGAAGUUAUUUUUUUCUCUGACUCAGUGGAUGUAUUAUUUCCUGUUUGGAAUCACUGAGAUCUACUGUUUUUUAAAUUUUUUUCAGGUUGUCCCUUAACUGAUCUGGAGAACCUUGGAGACCAGAAGUUUUCACUGUAAUGCUGUUGGUGUCCUGCCAGCCCCUCUGGCCCUCAUUUCUCCUUACUUCCCUCCCUCCUCUUUGUUGUUGUCAGCAGGAUCUGCUCACCCUCUCCCCAGCCAUCACCACUUGCACCACCACAGCAUCUUUCUGGAAAAUAAAAAGAAAUGAAUGAAUCAUCUGCAGGACAGACCAGGGGUGUAGAACUUAGACUCCCAGAUUUUAACUGAAAUGCUGCCAUCCACUACCAAUGGCUUUUAUCUGUUUUAAACUGCAAACUGCAGGACUAAAUACAGUUUACACUGCCGUUCAAUAUACAUAUACACACUUACACAGAGACUGAAAAAGCAUUCUGUUUUAUGUUAUUAUGUUUUGUUCUACUCUCAUCCAAUUUUUCACAAUUUGGGUCACAGCACCCCAGCUUGUUUAAUGACCAACUUAUGUGUUUCCAAGCAAUUUGAAAAAACAUAGCUAUGUCUUUCCCUGGCUGCUGGUCACUCAAUCCAUCCUGGUAUUCUGCUUUCUUCAAUCAACAAGCCUCUAUCAAGAAUGUUGGCUCUUCUUUUAUUAUCUAAGUUCUGGGUCAUUGGCUUUAUUUGUUAUAUUAAAUGACCACAGGGCCACAGAAGUCUUCUCAACAGCAGUUUUAAGUUAACUUAAUUUCUUGCCUGUGCUUUUGGAUGACAUCAAGAGGAAAAGAAGGCAGCCCCGUGGGUAAAAAAUCCUGAGAAAGAAAAGCAUUCCCUCUCAGGAGACACAGGAGACCUAAGUUCAUGCCUCAAUUUGGUAAAAAAAAAAAUUGAGUCAGGGGAUUCUCGCGGUGCAUUGUGCCCUCUGCUGGCGAACUGGGCAAUGCUGUCCAUUCUGCUCUUUGCGGAGCAGGUUUCCACCUGGUGGCCGGAGGCUGAGACCUACCCAGGCAGAGAAUGGAUCUAUUGGAUGAGCGCGCAGGGGUAUCCACGGUUAAGGCCAGGAAUAUCUUUCUUCUCAUGCUGUGAGAAAGGUUGAGACAACGACAUUUUCUAAUUUGUCACCGUAUUCCUGAGACUGUGGUCAUCUGUGAGUGGGGAGCAGGAGGUCCUAUUUCUCAUGUACCCACAAGACAAGGGUCUAUGCAUUGGGCUUCCGAAAAGGUGGCCCUGACGUCGGACUACCUGGACUCGAGUCACACGCCACCACCUACUAAUUGGAUCCACUUGCUAAACACGAUGUCAUCACCCUUUAGGUAACUUGUAAACUGUGCCUCAGUUUCUUCAUGUGUAAAAAGGGGAUAGUAACAGUAGCUACGUUGUAGGAUAGCUAGUAAGUAAAAUGCUGCUGAUACGUAGUAAGACCUCAAUAUACAUUUGAUCUUACUAUUAUUAUUGUAUUGCAUAAUAAGAAUUAAUAUUGUUUUUACUAUACUGUUAUUUUUUACUAUAAUAAUUAUUUUGCAUUUAUUGUUUUUACUGCUGUCUUAAUGAUAAUGAUGAUAGCUAAUAUUUAUGGGUAACUUACAACAUUUCAGAUGUUCUACGUUUCACAUGUAUUGACUCGUUAUCAGACAUAUGAGGUAGGAGCGCUAAGGAUCUGCAUUUUGCCUAUGAGAAAAGAGAGGCAUGGUGUGGUAUUAGAGACUUCCGAGGUGCAGAACCUCGGUUCGAGGUGUCCAAUCGCUCUGUUCCAUCAGCCACAGGGCUCCAUCGCCAGAAUCCAAGUGAGAAUAGUAUCUCCUUGAUAGGGAGAUUGUAAGUAUUAAAUGCAAUAUGUCAAAAGCACGUUUAAACCCCGGGGAAAACUGGUGCUCCUGUAACUGUGAAAAUGGUAAGCCCAAGAUUACUUAAUACAACUGAGUUAAUUUUAGAGUAGUUUCUUCUUAAGAAAAAAUCUGAUUCUGUAGGAAAAUAGAAGCUCAUGAACUUAGAUAGUGAUUAUGUUUUUGGCUUUUGAGGAAAGAAUGAAUUACAGGGCUCAUUUAAAAGAAUGAUUCUCAAAGUUCAUAUAAACUAAAUAAAAAACAUGAAAACAUGUGACACUAGAAAAUAUGUAUUAUAUUGGAUCAGAACAAAAAAGAGGAAGGAUUGACAUAUUUUAGUACAUAAUUAUAAGUAAAAUGGAAAAGCACAGAAUAAACUACAAAAAUGUGGGCAAAAGUGUGAAAGAUAAGAGUUGAUAUCCUUGAUGCCCACUAAAAAAAUGGCCAAAGGAUAUGAACAGGAAAUUUACAAAAUAAGGGCUAAUUCAUACAAAUGCUUAUUGAAUGAGAAAGUGCAUAACAUCACAAUACAUCUGAUGCUACUAGUUAAGGACAUUUACAAUGUGCCGGAGUCUAUGCUAAUCUCAUUAAGUGUCUUAUCUCAUUUAAUACUGCCAAUGACCCCAUGUUUUCUCCAUUUUAAAAGUGGAGAAAUUAAAGAUGUAAGAGAGUAGGUAACCCACCCAAGCAUAAUGCAGUUGUAAGAAUUAGCCCUAGGGAAAUGUAUCACUGAUUAUGUGUUUCAUGAUAUUGUAAUAUUACUGUUAAAUUUUUUUUAGCAUGAUAAUGGUAGCAAGAUAAAGAGUCCUUGUGUUUUAGAAGGGGUAUGCUGGGGGCAUUUAUGGGUGAAGUCCUAUAAUGUCUGAGCUUUGCCUUAAAAUAAUCCAGUGCAGGGAAAGAGGAAACCUCCAGGAGAAUUGUUGAGCUAAGAGGGCCGUGGAGGAGGUCCACGGGAUCCAAAAUAUUUUCUCUAUUUUUAUGUAUGUUUGACAUUUUCUUUAAAAUAAAUUUGAAAAUUAAAGUGGUUAAAAAGAUUUUUUAAAAAACUCUUUGACACUUGAGCAAAUUUGCCUAUGACAAAAGAAAGACAAGUGUUCUGAAUAGUACGAUGGAGCUUGGGGAGGAGGAAUUUGGUUUUCUUUUCAAAAUAUAAACAGCUGUUUCUUUUCCUGACUCUUUGCUCAUUGGAAAAACUCAUAAAAAUAGGAAAUUAUUUUGAAAACUAAUUUUUAUUAGCCUAUAACAUAGAUUUCAUGUUGCAAUACAUACCUACUUGUUCUCUAAUAAAAUACUAAUAUAUCAACA